GGGGGUGUACCGGUUUCGACUGGUGCGGCUCGAGGCGCAGGUUGCAGGUGGAGUUGCCGAUCUCCUAACAUUUGGCAAAACUUUUAAUUGCCGAUAAUGACAAUUACGGCUACGCUCUAGCAGCGUAACCGCGUGGAACCGUUCCGCCGCUUUGAGGGACGACUUCCGCGACACAAUCAAGGCUGGUUGCUUCCCGCGUUCAGACAGGGAGUAACGAGAACACUCUGAAAUAAGGAUGGGCCGCGCGCCGCGUAGCCAAGCCCGUUCUGACACAUUUAAUACGCGGCUAAACCUGUAGAAGUUUGUGGUUCGCGUACUAGGACGCGGGUUCGACUCCCGCCACCUCCAGAA
rnacentral:tmRNA from 1 species